ACCCUGAGCCCCACCACAACUACUACCCUGAACCCUGAACCCCACCACAACUACAGCACAACACCCUGAACCCCACCACAACACAACUACACCAAAAUACACUGAACCUCACCACAACUAAACCACAAGCACCCUGAGCCCCACCACAACUACACCAAACAGCCUGGACCCCACCACAACUACACCACAAACACCCUGAGCCCCACCACAACUACACCAAACAGCCUGAACCCCACCACAACUACACCACAAACACCCUGAGCCUCACCAAAACACAACUACACCACAACACCCUGAACCCCACCACAACACAACUACACCACCACACAAUAUCCUAAACCCCACCACUACACAACAACACCCUGAACCCCACCACUACACAACUAUACAACUAUACCACAAUACCCUGAACCCCACCACAACUACACCACAACACCCUGAACCCCACCACAAUACCCUGAACCCCACCACCACCACCACCACAAUACCCUGAACCCCACCACAACUACACCACAACACCCUGAACCCCACCACUACACCAAAACACCCUGGACCCCACCACAACUACACCACAACACCCUGGACCCCACCACAACUACACCACAACACCCUGGACCCCACCACAACUACAACACAACACCCUGGACCCCAACACGACUACAACACAACACCCUGGACCCCACCACGACUACAACACAACACCCUGGACCCCACUACAACACAACACAACACCCUGGACCCCACCACAACUACAACACAACACCCUGGACCCCACCACAACUACACCACAACACCCUGAACCCCACCACGACUACACCACAACACCCUGGACCCCACCACAACUACAACACAACACCCUGGACCCCACCACGACUACAACACAACACCCUGGACCCCACCACGACUACAACACAACAUCCUGGACCCCACUACAACACAACACAACACCCUGGACCCCACCACAACUACAACACAACACCCUGGACCCCACCACAACUACACCACAACACCCUGAACCCCACCACGACUACACCACAACACCCUGGACCCCACCACAACUACAACACAACACCCUGGACCCCACCACGACUACAACACAACACCCUGGACCCCACCACAACUACAACGCAACACAACACCCUGGACCCCACCACGACUACAACACAACACCCUGAACCCCACCACAACUAUACCACAACACACUGGAUGCCACCACGACAACACCACAACACACUGGACGUCACCACGACUACACCACAACACCCUGGACCCUACCACAACACAACUACACCACAACACACUGGAUGCCACCACGACGACACCACAACACCCUGGACCCCACCACAACUACACCACAACACCCUGGACCCCACCACAACACAACUACACCACAACACACUGGAUGCCACCACGACUACACCACAACACCCUGGACCCCACUACAACUACAACACAACACCCUGGACCCCACCACAACUACACCACAACACCCUGGACCCCACCACAACUACACCACAACACCCUGGACCCCACCACAACUACACCACAACACCCUGGACCCCACCACAACUACAACACAACACCCUGGACCCCACCACGACUACAACACAACACCCUGGACCCCACCACAACACAACACCCUGGACCCCACCACACACACAACACCCUGGACCCCACCACAACUACACCACAACACCCUGGACCCCACCACAACUACAACACAACACCCUGGACCCCACUAUGACUACAACACAACACCCUGGACCCCACCACGACUACAACACAACACCCUGGACCCCACCACAACUACAACACAACACAACACCCUGGACCCCACCACGACUACAACACAAACACCCUGAACCCCACCACAACUACACCACAACACCCUGAACCCCACCACGACUACACCACAACACCCUGGACCCCACCACAACUACAACACAACACCCUGAACCCCACCACAACUACAACACAACACCCUGGACCCCACCACAACUACACCACAACACCCUGAACCCCACCACAACUACACCACAACACCCUGAACCCCACCACGACUACACCACAACACCCUGGACCCCACCACAACUACAACACAACACCCUGGACCCCACCAUGACUACAACACAACACCCUGGACCCCACCACAACUACAACACAACACAACACCCUGGACCCCAACACAACACAACACCCUGGACCCCACCACAACUACAACACAACACCCUGGACCCCACCACGACUACACCACAACACCCUGGACCCCACCACAGCUACAACACAACACCCUGAACCCUACCACGACUACACCACAACACACUGUACCCCACCACAACUACACCACAACACCCUGGACCCCACCACAACUACAACACAACACAACACUCUGGACCCCACCACAACUACACCACAACACACUGGACCCUAUGAACCACACGGUCUUCUUCAGUAGGCAGUAAACAGAAGAAGGUUAUUAAAAAAUGAGAGGUUCUGAAUUUUUCCAAUGACAAACAAAAAAAUAUAUAAUUCUGUUGCGAACUGUUUUUCUACAGUCUGACUUCCUGAACACGACCCUGGUAAACACCCUGGACCUACUGGUCACUACAGGUGUCUGAUCAAUACAGACUGAUUGAUCACUACUGAUAAAUGAUCAAUUGAUCAGUUGGACUCUUGCUGAUCUGCACCGCAAUCUCCUACUCGGGUGGAGGGAGGGGAGUGUGUGGG
ensembl:lncRNA